AUGGAAUGUUUGUCUGAAACACAGAAAGCAACUCUGAUAAAAUUAUAGACCAAAGAAUUACUUUUCACUAUUGCACAAUUAUGUUUCUGACAAGAUACUGCAACAAUGCAACACAUACAGCAGACGCAAUACAGACUUCUUCAUUACAAUCAUCAGACAAUUUAUGGUUUCCACCAGGUGUUUGAUGUUGAUGUUGAUUCUGUUUUUGGCUGAUGGAACCAUGUAGAAGACAGCUGUAUUCAUAUUUUGGAGUUCCAUUUGACUGAUGGUGAUGCCCAAGAAUGCACAUCCACUAUCAGAGUCAGCAAGGGUCAAGGAGCUAUCACCUUAAAGAUACUAGUCCAAGCUAAAGGCUUCUGUAUUACAUACAUCUCAGUGCAAUUAAUUUUGUUAUUAGGUGAGCUAAAUACAAAUUUCACUGUAAAUGAAAACAUUUGCUUGGUUCAAGGAUAACUUGAGGGUGUUUGGAAACAAAGUGUUCAGGAGAAUAUCUGGACCUAAGGGAGAAGUAGUAACAGAAAGAUGGCGAAAGAUGCAUACUUAAAAGCUCUGUGAUCUGUAUGAAAUAUUUUGGCAAUAAGUUCAAGAAGGACAGGAUUUGAGAAACGCGUAACACAUGUGAGAAAUGUGUACACAGUGUUUGUAAGAAAACCUGAAGGGAAGAAGCCAUGGUAGAUGAGUUGUUUCAUAUUGAAAUGGAUCUUACUGAAAGGAAGUGUUUGUGAAUAUGGUAAUAAACCAUCUGGUUCUGUAACGAGCAGGGAGUUUUUUGACAGUUGAACUGUUCUCAACUUCUCAGGAAGUUAACAAAAUAAAUAAAACGUGAUUAUGAAACUUCAUACAGGUUGUGAUUAAAAUAAAAUAGAUCUCAUGUUGAGAAAGGCUGAAAAUGCCCGAAAGUCAAGUGAACAACUGUCUUACUGGUAGUAUGCUUGUAACUUUGUAGAUUUAUUUUGUUAAUUUGUAUUACCGAAUGACUUGUCCAAGUGUUACUGUGUAGCAGAACGGAUGAAAUAAAAUACAAUACAAUA